AGACAGUGUGAGGCAAAACCAAUUUAUGGUGCCAACAAGAGCUUCAUCAAUGGCGGGCAACCAUAAUUCUCAGAAGCUUCACACACUCUUGAUCAAGACAGUGUGAAGCAAAACCAAUUUAUGGUGCCAACAAAAGCUUCAUCAAAAGAGUUCAACUACAAAUUCUCAAAAGCUUCACACUAUCUUGAUUAAGAUAAUGUGAAGCAAAAUCAAUUCAUGGUACCCAACAAAAGCUUCAACUUCAAAGCUUCACCUACAAAGCUUCAACUCCAAAGUUUCACCUACAAAAGCUUCAACAC
rnacentral:lncRNA from 1 species